UUAGGUUGUGAACUUGUAAAACAACCGGCUGUAAUCUAAGAAAUUAUAGUGAAAUCCCAAGUGAAGCUUGGGGAGUGGACGUAGGAGCAAGGGUUAGCUCCGAACCACUAUAAACUGGUUUGUGUUUGUAUUGGCUGCUGUCCUCUCUCUCUCUCUCUUCAUUCACUUCAUCUAGUAAAUUAACUAAUUUGCUUGCAAUAGAUUUAGUUAAUUACUAAUCAUAGUUUUAAAUUGGUCGAGAAUUAAUCCA
rnacentral:lncRNA from 1 species